CCACCUUCCAGCCUAUGGACGUUGUUCCACAGGAUGACAGUGAUGUGCACUAGGGAGAGCCCAGUCAUUGGAGCUGCCCAGCUGCCCUAGCUCUAGUUAAAGCCAGCCUCCCUUCUUUGGGGGCUUGGAGCAUGAGAGUCUGCCUGAAGCAGGGUGGAGCACUUCGUGCCAGACCAUGGCUUCUUCCCCAUUGGCCGCCUGCCCUCCCCAGCCAUGAUGGCUGAGGAAGUCCCCAAGGGCCCCUCCAAGCCCAUCCGAGCCUGGGAGGAGACGAAACUUCCCCCAGGGAAGUAAGCGGAAGAGCCCACAGCAGCAGGAGGAGCUGUGUGUGCCUCAGCCCUUCUGUGCUGAUUCACCAUCACCUGCUAACACCUCCAGCUUUUUGGGGCCAGACUCGGAGGAGAAAGAGGCCCUGAACUACAUCGACGGCUUUCUCAAGGGCAAUGAACAGG